rnacentral:rRNA from 1 species
AUUGAACGCUGGCGGCAUGCUUUACACAUGCAAGUCGAACGGUAACAGGGAGCUUGCUCCGCUGACGAGUGGCGAACGGGUGAGUAAUAUAUCGGAACGUACCCAAGAGUGGGGGAUAACGUAGCGAAAGUUACGCUAAUACCGCAUACGAUCUAUGGAUGAAAGCAGGGGACCUUCGGGCCUUGUGCUCCUGGAGCGGCCGAUAUCUGAUUAGCUAGUUGGUGAGGUAAAGGCUCACCAAGGCGACGAUCAGUAGCUGGUCUGAGAGGACGACCAGCCGCACUGGAACUGAGACACGGUCCAGACUCCUACGGGAGGCAGCAGUGGGGAAUUUUGGACAAUGGGCGCAAGCCUGAUCCAGCAAUGCCGCGUGAGUGAAGAAGGCCUUCGGGUUGUAAAGCUCUUUUGUCAGGGAAGAAACGGCUGUGGCUAAUAUCCACGGCUAAUGACGGUACCUGAAGAAUAAGCACCGGCUAACUACGUG